CGGACUGCGUGUAUCCGAAGAAAAAGCAUCGGCUAACUCCGUGCCAGCAGCCGCGGUAAUACGGAGGAUGCGAGCGUUAUCCGGAUUUAUUGGGUUUAAAGGGUGCGUAGGCGGUCCGUUAAGUCAGCGGUAAAAUUGCGGGGCUCAACCCCGUCGAGCCGUUGAAACUGGCAGACUUGAGUUGGCGAGAAGUACGCGGAAUGCGCGGUGUAGCGGUGAAAUGCAUAGAUAUCGCGCAGAACUCCGAUUGCGAAGGCAGCGUACCGGCGCCAGACUGACGCUGAGGCACGAAAGCGUGGGGAUCGAACAGGAUUAGAUACCCUGGUAGUCCACGCAGUAAACGAUGAAUGCUGGUUGUCCGGGUCGAAUGAGACCUGG
rnacentral:rRNA from 1 species